rnacentral:rRNA from 1 species
UACGGAGGGUGCGAACGUUAAUCGGAAUCACUGGGCGUAAAGCGCGCGUAGGCGGUUUGUUAAGUGGGAUGUGAAAUCCCCGGGCUUAACCUGGGAAUUGCAUUUCAAACUGGCCGACUAGAGUACGGUAGAGGGAGGUAGAAUUUCCUGUGUAGCGGUGAAAUGCGUAGAUAUAGGAAGGAAUACCAGUGGCGAAGGCGGCCUCCUGGGUCGAUACUGACGCUGAGGCGCGAAAGCGUGGGGAGCAAACAGG